CACAUCCCUCGGGGUAUGAAUGAUGUUUGCUUCUUUUCUUGCCUCCAGGCAUCAGAGCUGAGCAGGACCAGCAGUGAUGAGACAGACGGAGCUGCACGGAGGCAGGUUCUCAGCAGUAUUCAGAUUCCACCUCCUCAGUUUGCGUUGAUGUCAGACUGAUGUGAAAUACUGACGUUUUCCAUGUGAUGCUGGUGCAUGUUCUAUAAGAAGUGCCACAUUUUCAAUAACACUGAGUUGAUUCAGUUAACUUUCAUUUUACACAGUUAAGAGCCUGCCUCCUAAAACUUGUUUGUUUGGAACUCAUCUGUGAUUCUGUUAGCCAGUCUAAGAAGAAGCUCCGCUUCUGCCUCAUCACACUGACUCAUGUCUGAGAGGCUCAAUCUCAAACCCAUUGUUACAGGAAAACCACAGUAAUAGAACGUGGAGCUGAGGUAUUUGAAUGUGGACAUGAGAUAUUUGAACGUGGACAUGAGGUAUUUGAACGUGGACAUGAGGUAUUUGAACAUGGAUAUGAGGUAUUUAUACAUGGACAUCUGAAGGUACAGUAUCUGAUUGUGCGUCUGUGUCCUGGGCCUUCACCCAGAGCUUCUGCUUGCUGCUAACUCUCUCUCUGCUGUCACCCUGCAAUAUGUGAGCAACCUCUCAGUAGCCUUAUAUCCACCUCACUUUAUUAAGAAACAGGCAGUGUAACAGUCCAACACUCACUAAAACAUUAGCUUCAGAUCAGAGGAUCGCCUGCAGGUACGUAUGUAUAUGUAACAAUUAAAAAAUAUUCCAUGUUCCAUGAGGCCAACAGGUUUUGACACCAAAGCUUAUGACUGGGGUCAAAGGUCAUCGCUCUGGUCUCAUUUACUAUGUCUUUCCUAAUUUAGCUAAAUUAAAUGUGACACUGAAUCCUCCGAGCUACGAAAGCAUCUUCCUCAACAACCAGGCAGAGUUUGAGUGCGUCUUCACUGGACAGGAUGAAACUACCGUCACCUGGACGAUUGAUGGAAAAACUGAGACCGGCACCUGUACAACAGUUGGACCAAAGAAAGUCUGCACCCUGGCUGCUCAGCGCUCUGACUGGAAGCUGCAAAGUAAAGUGAGCUGCUCUGUUAGGGUACAAAACAAGGCAUCAAUCACCAAAGACCUGAUUGUUCACAAAGGAGAUAAUCCCAAUCCAACUGUGACGGUGCACAUUCUUCCAGAGGAGCACAUCGGCAGUAAGGUCACUCUGGUGUGUCUGGUGUCCGGUACCAAGAUGCAGGAUUACUACAUCGCCUGGACAGAGGACGAGAGACAGCAAACUGGCAACUACAAGGCCGGCACCAAGCUACUGCAGGAGAACGACCACGGUGGUUACAUGGUGGCAAGUGUUUACACGACCACUAAGCAAGAGUGGGAAAAAAAAAGUUUCACCUGCAACGUGUGGCCGUUCGGGCACAACGGGGUCAUGAAACCAACAACAGUGUCCAAAUAUAUGAGCAACUCAGUGGAAUGUAAGAAGUAGCACAAUGAGGCGUUUUGUUGCUGUACAGUUCGUUGUGUUUGACAAAUUGGUUUAAUAAAUGUUGCAUU